rnacentral:rRNA from 1 species
AACGAACGCUGGCGGCAGGCCUCAAACAUGCAAGUCUAGGGGGUGUAGCAAUACAUCACCGGCGGACGGGUGCGUAACGCGUGGGAAUAUACCUAUCGAUUCGGAACAACUGAGGGAAACUUCAGCUAAUACCGAAUACGUCCUAACGGAGAAAGAUUUAUCGUCGAUAGAUUAGCCCGCGUUCGAUUAGCUAGUUGGUGGGGUAACGGCCCACCAAGGCGACGAUCGAUAGCUGUUCUGAGAGGAAGAUCAGCCACACUGGGACUGAGACACGGCCCAGACUCCUACGGGAGGCAGCAGUUGGGAAUCUUGGACAAUGGGGGAAACCCUGAUCCAGCCAUGCCGCGUGAGUGAUGAAGGCCUUCGGGUUGUAAAACUCUUUCGCGCACGACGAUAAUGACGGUAGUGCGAGAAGAAGCUCCGGCUAACUUCGUGCCAGCAGCCGCGGUAAU